rnacentral:rRNA from 1 species
ACAGGGAUUACCUCAGUAACGGCGAGUGAAGCGGUAACAGCUCAAAUUUGAAAUCUGGGGGGCCCGAGUUGUAAUUUGGAGAAGAUGCUUUGGGUGCGGUCCUUGGAACAGGACGUCAGAGAGGGUGAGAAUCCCGUAUGUGAUUGGGUGUCCGCGCCUAUGUAAAGCUCUUUCGACGAGUCGAGUUGUUUGGGAAUGCAGCUCAAAAUGGGUGGUAUAUUUCAUCUAAAGCUAAAUAUGGGCCAGAGACCGAUAGCGCACAAGUAGAGUGAUCGAAAGAUGAAAAGCACUUUGGAAAGAGAGUUAAACAGUACGUGAAAUUGUUGAAAGGGAAGCGCUUGCAACCAGACUUGCGUGCGGCCCGUCACCUGGGGCACUGGGUCGCGCAGGCCAGCAUCGGUUGGUGGUUGGAGAAAGGAACGUGGCUCCCCCUCCCGGCGCCAUGCAGCCACCCAGACCGAGGACCGCGCUCCGGUUGUAAGCGACCCGUCUUGAAACACGGACCAAGGAGUCUAACAUCUAUGCGAGUGUUUGGGUGAAAACCCAUGCGCGGAAUUAACGUGAACGGAGGUGAGGUGCAUCAUCGACCGAUCCUGAUGUCUUCGGAUGGAUUUGAGUAAGAGCAUAGCUGUUGGGACCCGAAAGAUGGUGAACUAUGCCUAAAUAGGGUGAAGCCAGAGGAAACUCUGGUGGAGGCUCGGUUCUGACGUGCAAAUCGAUCGUCAAAUUUGGGGCGAAAGACUAAUCG